GGUCGUGAAAGGUUUUCAAGGAGACGGAGGUCAGCAAAACGCACUUUGUCAACAGUCAAGGACCGCGCAGCACGUGCUGCCGCGGUUCAGCCCUGGGAGGGGCACCCGCUGCCCCCAGGAGUCUGUCCUGAAUCUGUAUGUCCAGAUUCCUUCAUUCGCUGGAGAAAUCUGUGAUGGCUUUUUAAAGAUGGCUCGUGCUCGCCCUUUCUCGCUGAUCUUAGUAGGAUACCAAUGGCCCCUUGGAAAUUCAGAGCUCCAACUGGAUGGAGAAGGGUUCCUCCCCGGGGGCUUGAGUCCUCCCCUUCUCCCCUGGUUCCCCCACCUUCCCUCGGCCCCUGGGAGCGCCCCCCACGAGAGGUAAGGACUGGCACAGUCAUGGAUGGGUUCCAGUGCCAGGCACUGUGCCCUGUGAGACAUGAUUGGCUCCAUUUUGCAGAUGAAGGAACAGAGACGGGGACACGUGUAGUGAAAAGAACCAUCAGCCCUCGAGGACAGGGCGGUGACAUUAGGGAGACCCCAACAGCAAAAGCUAAAUAAAGAAGCUGCUCGAUGGUGAAAGUUUCUACAUGGCCCUGGAAAGUCAGAGGCAUCAAGAUGGGAGAAUUGCCUGGCUGAUCCCCGUCUGGCUCGUGAUAUGGACUUCUCAGAGCCUUCAACAUGCCAUGAUUUUCCAUAAGAAUGUGUACAGCAUGCAACUUUUUUCAGCCUUCUUUUCCUUUUGUGGGACACCUGCUGUUUCAGACAGCACUGCAUGAACUGCUCCAGGAUGGCAAAACCAGGUCUGAAUGGGGAAGAAGAAGCUCAGUGGGAGGGCCCCUUCCUACCCCUGCUUUUCCUCUUCCCCAUGGCAGGCUGGCGGAGCACCAGGGAUGGUGUCGCUGUGGGAUUUCCUUACGCAGAGGUUCAGCCAGCACCAGGGCCCAAUAGCGGAGGGUGGCUUGUCCCUGACCACACAGCAUUCUUCCCUUUAGGCACCACUGCUACCCCCUGCAUGUGACCCUGGUGGCCUGCUCCCACGUCCUCACCUGCUAGUGGAGCCAGAGAGAAACAAGCAUGUUUCAGAUAAAUAAAAUAGAGCACGAUAGAAAAUAGAAAGUAAAAUAGGGUGGUCAGUUAGGAUCCUCGGAGAGGGUAUUAUGAUCUGAAUGCUUGUGUCCCCUCAAAUUCAUAUGUUGAAAUCCUACCCCCUAGAGUGGUGGUGUUAAGAGGUGGGGUCUUGGGGAGCGGAGUAGGUCAUAGGGUGGAGCCCUCACCAGUGAGGUUAGUGCCCUUGUCAAAGAGAGGUCCCCAGAGCUCCCUUGGCCCUUCCAUCAUGUGAGGACACAGAGAGGAGACAAAACCUGGGGAGAGGCUCUCACUGGAACCCGACCACGCUGGCACCCUAAUCUGGGACUUCCAGCCUCCAGAACUGCGAGAAAUGCAUUUCCCUUGUUCAUAAGACACCCCGUGUGUGGGAUUUUGUUACAGCAGCCCGAGGAGACUAAGACAGGGGGUGACAUUUAAGCUGACAAAGGAAAUUGAGGAUUCGGUGGUGUAGGAAGAGCGGUGCAGGCAGAGAACCAGCUCUGCGGUGGGGCAGGCUCAGCAUGUCUAAGGGAUGCGAGGCUGGUGGUGCAGAGGAGGGGAUGGUGGUGAGAGCUGAGGUCAGAGAUGACCUGCAGCUGGGUCCCUGAGGCCUCGGCUGCCCACGAUAGGGAGGGGAGGUUCGUAUCCUGAGUGUAAAGGGCAGCUACUGCCCUACAGAGUUCAGGGUGUAGACCUGGGAGGUGUUAUUGGUGUUUUCUCAAGCCCCAGAAAGGCAAGCAGCUUCCAGACCCAACCCUUCAGGAAGGCCUUGAGCUGGGAGUGGGACAGCGUAUUCUCAGAGGCAGCAAGAGUCAGAAGCUUCACAGGCUCGAGAUCACUGAGGCAACAUAGUGGUUGGGAGAGGCCAGCCGAUGGUGCAGACAGACACAAAUGGACCCAAGACCCGCAGG